rnacentral:rRNA from 1 species
UACAGAGGUGGCAAGCGUUGUUCGGAUUUAUUGGGCGUAAAGGGUUCGUAGGCGGACCGGAAAGUCUGAUGUGAAAGCCCACAGCUUAACUGUGGAACUGCAUUGGAAACUUCCGGACUAGAGUGUGAGAGGGGUAAAGGGAAUUCCCGGUGUAAGGGUGAAAUCUGCAGAGAUCGGGAGGAACACCAGUCGCGAAGGCGCUUUACUGGCUCACUACUGACGCUCAGGAACGGAAAGC